CGAAGAAAUUCGGAUUAAUCCUCCAUAGUAUUUUCUAAUGGCAUCAUUUGGGAAAUUAAAGCUUCGGCGGUAUAAGAUGGGCAUGCGUCCUAUUAGCUAGAUGGUAAGGUAAUGGCUUACCAUGGCAACGAUAGGUAGGGGGCCUGAGAGGGUGAUCCCCCACACUGGUACUGAGACACGGACCAGACUCCUACGGGAGGCAGCAGUGAGGAAUAUUGGGCAAUGGAGGCAACUCUGACCCAGCCAUGCCGCGUGCAGGAAGAAUGCCCUAUGGGUUGUAAACUGCUUUUAUUUAGGAAUAAACCCUUCUACGUGU
rnacentral:rRNA from 1 species